UUUUGUCUGGCUUGCUUUCAGAAUUCAAUGUCUCUGAUGUAAUCUAGGAAUUAGAUCAAGUUCAAGUUAUAGCACAGCAUACAGGAUUCUUAAAAAGCAGAAGCAACUAUUGAAGAUAAAAAUGACUUCAGUGGCUCAAAUCAAGCAUUUUCAAUGAGUUAUCAUCAAUUCUAUCAGGGGAAAGUGCCGUUUGUCUUUGAUGAUAUAAUCUUUGAACUCGCAAGACUGUUGGAUCAUUUAAUGCUUAACUGUAUAUAAUGUUGGCUUGUAGCAGCUUUGUUCUCUGUAUAUUAGAAAGGCUAAGUAGAAUCCACUCUUUUUAAAGGUGAUGAAUUGCUGUAAAAUUCCCCUUGGAUUGUACAGAUUCUCGUGUAAUUUGCAUUAAGGUAACUUAUGCCAUUUCUGCCAUUGACUUCAUUAAAUACAAGUCUCCAAAUUUUUAGGGUGAUGUCCUAAACAAGAGAAUUA